GCUCUCUUCAGCAGAACAUAUACUAAAAUUGGAAAAGUACAGACAUUAGCAUGGCCCCUGUGUAAGGAUGACACACAAAUUCGUGAAGUGUUCCAUAUUUUA
rnacentral:snRNA from 1 species